rnacentral:rRNA from 1 species
UGCGCAGGCGGUUCGCUAAGACCGAUGUGAAAUCCCCGGGCUUAACCUGGGAACUGCAUUGGUGACUGGCGGGCUAGAGUAUGGCAGAGGGGGGUAGAAUUCCACGUGUAGCAGUGAAAUGCGUAGAGAUGUGGAGGAAUACCGAUGGCGAAGGCAGCCCCCUGGGCCAAUACUGACGCUCAUGCACGAAAGCGUGGGGAGCAAACAGGAUUAGAUACCCUGGUAGUCCACGCCCUAAACGAUGUCAACUAGUUGUCGGGUCUUCAUUGACUUGGUAACGAAGCUAACGCGUGAAGUUGACCGCCUGGGGAGUACGGUCGCAAGAUUAAAACUCA